UUUUCCUCCUUCCAUCCUUCCUUCGCCCGGCUGAGGCAACGUGGCGCCUCGGUCGUCGUCGAAGGGAGAGUUUCCGGGCGGGGGAAGGAAAAGAAAGCCGAAACCGGCCGACAUGAGGGAGGAAGAGGGAGGCGCUGAGCGAAAUUAAUUGUUGGCAGAAGUUGUGAAGAUGCAAAACUGGUUGCAAGCACCAACUGCAAAAACAGUUUAAGCCAAGUGUUACAAUAUCCUGCCUUUCUCCCGCAGCGGCUGCAUGGCUGGCCCUCUCUUUGAAAGCCUUCACGUUCUUCUCCACGCCCUUCACUGAGUAAUCCAGGUGUGUCAGGAGGACUAUUUUAAGAAAGGUUCAAUUUGUAUGUAUCCAACGUUUGAACAAAGAAAUGUGUACACUCUCC